rnacentral:rRNA from 1 species
AUUGAACGCUGGGGGCAGGCUUAACACAUGCAAGUCGGGCGGGGUGAUGGUGCUUGCACUAUCACUUAGCGGCGGACGGGUGAGUAAUGCUUAGGAAUCUGCCUAUUAGUGGGGGACAACAUCUCGAAAGGGAUGCUAAUACCGCAUACGUCCUACGGGAGAAAGCAGGGGAUCACUUGUGACCUUGCGCUAAUAGAUGAGCCUAAGUCGGAUUAGCUAGUUGGUGGGGUAAAGGCCUACCAAGGCGACGAUCUGUAGCGGGUCUGAGAGGAUGAUCAGCCACACUGGGACUGAGACACGGCCCAGACUCCUACGGGAGGCAGCAGUGGGGAAUAUUGGACAAUGGGGGGAACCCUGAUCCAACCAUGCCGCGUGUGCGAAGAAGGCCUUAUGGUUGUAAAGCACUUUAAGCGAGGAGGAGGCUCUUUUGGUUAAUACCCAAGAUGAGUGGACGUUACUCGCAGAAUAAGCACCGGCUAACUCUGUGCCAGCCGCCGCCGUAA